UACGGGGGGGGGGGCAAGCGUUGUUCGGAAUUACUGGGCGUAAAGGGUUCGUAGGUGGCCAACUAAGUCAUACGUGAAAUCCCUCAGCUUAACUGGGGAACUGCGUCUGAUACUGGUUGGCUUGAGUGCAGGAGAGGAACGCGGAAUUCCAGGUGUAGCGGUGAAAUGCGUAGAUAUCAGGAGGAACACCGGUGGCGAAGGCGGAUCUCUGGGCCUUACCUGACGCUCAGGUGCGAAAGCUAGGGGAGCGAACAGG
rnacentral:rRNA from 1 species